AUUGAACGCUGGCGGCAUGCCUUACACAUGCAAGUCGAACUGCAGCACGGGUGCUUGCCCCUGGUGGCGAGUGGCGAACGGGUGAGUAAUACAUCGGAACAUGUCCUGUAGUGGGGGAUAGCCCGGCGAAAGCCGGAUUAAUACCGCAUACGAUCUACGGAUGAAAGCGGGGGACCUUCGGGCCUCGCGCUAUAGGGUUGGCCGAUGGCUGAUUAGCUAGUUGGUGGGGUAAAGGCCUACCAAGGCGACGAUCAGUAGCUGGUCUGAGAGGACGACCAGCCACACUGGGACUGAGACACGGCCCAGACUCCUACGGGAGGCAGCAGUGGGGAAUUUUGGACAAUGGGCGAAAGCCUGAUCCAGCAAUGCCGCGUGUGUGAAGAAGGCCUUCGGGUUGUAAAGCACUUUUGUCCGGAAAGAAAUCCUUGGCCCUAAUACGGUCGGGGGAUGACGGUACCGGAAGAAUAAGCACCGGCUAACUACGUG
rnacentral:rRNA from 1 species